AGUGAACGCUGGCGGCGUGCCUAAUACAUGCAAGUCGAACGAUGAAGUCCUAGCUUGCUAGGAUGGAUUAGUGGCGCACGGGUGAGUAAUAUAUAGUUAAUCUGCCCUACACAGAGGAACAACAGUUGGAAACGACUGCUAAUACCUCAUACUCCUAUUUGACAUAAGUUAAAUAGGGAAAGUCUUUUCGGUGUAGGAUGAGACUAUAUCGUAUCAGCUAGUUGGUAAGGUAAUGGCUUACCAAGGCUAUGACGCGUAACUGGUCUGAGAGGAUGAUCAGUCACAUUGGAACUGAGACACGGUCCAAACUCCUACGGGAGGCAGCAGUAAGGAAUAUUGCGCAAUGGGGGAAACCCUGACGCAGCAACGCCGCGUGGAGGAUGACACUUUUCGGAGCGUAAACUCCUUUUAUCAGGAAAGAAUAAUGACGGUACCUGAUGAAUAAGCACCGGCUAACUCCGUGCCAGCAGCCGCGGUAAAAGGG
rnacentral:rRNA from 1 species